rnacentral:piRNA from 2 species
UCUGAAGUUUGGGACUGAGAGACUGUCA